CACUGAUUAUAAGUAAGAUUUGUGAAAAUACAGUAUGCCAAAAGAAAAGAUACUCUAAUAUACAUGUGUAAAUCUAAAUUUAUUAUUACUAAUAGUUAUUAAGGCUUGAGAUCAAAUAAUUGAUAGAUAUUGUUAUUAAGAAUCUUAGUCCCUCUGUCUUAGUGAAUUGAUUUCUAUUGCUUUUUUCCUCUACUGGUGUUAGACUUUAUCCUGUUUGCACAAUAAUUUUCUGUUGGUAAAUGACCUGGCAUAAAUGGAUUUAAAAAAUAUUUUCCCUUCAUGUACCAGGAAUUCUCGGGCAUGUUUUUUAAGAUAAAUAUUCUAUGCUAAUAUACUAAUUUUUUGGCAAGAAAAUUAGCACCUAUAUUUUAGUUCAAUAGUUCUGUGAUAAAUGAAGUAUAAUUAAACAUUCAGAUUCUGCAACAUGCACUU
rnacentral:lncRNA from 1 species